GGAUGUAGCUCAACCUGGUAGAGCACUUGAUUGUGGUUCAAGUCGUUGCGGGUUCGAAUCCCGUCAUC
rnacentral:tRNA from 1 species